rnacentral:rRNA from 1 species
UACGAAGGGGGCUAGCGUUGCUCGGAAUCACUGGGCGUAAAGGGGGCGUAGGCGGGUCUUUAAGUCAGGGGUGAAAUCCUGGAGCUCAACUCCAGAACUGCCUUUGAUACUGAGGAUCUUGAGUACGGGAGAGGUGAGUGGAACUGCGAGUGUAGAGGUGAAAUUCGUAGAUAUUCGCAAGAACACCAGUGGCGAAGGCGGCUCACUGGCCCGGUACUGACGCUGAGGUGCGAAAGCGUGGGGAGCAAACAGG